AUUUAAAUAGCUUAUAAUAAUAGAGCAUAAUAUUGAAAAUAUUAAUGAAAUUAAAAAUUUUUAAAUA
rnacentral:tRNA from 1 species